rnacentral:rRNA from 1 species
CGUCAAGUCCUCAUGGCCCUCAUGUCCGGGGCUACACACGUGCUACAAUGGUCGGUACAGAGCGCAGCGAACCCGCGAGGGGGAGCCAAUCGAGAAAAGCCGGCCUCAGUACGGAUUGCAGUCUGCAACUCGACUGCAUGAAGGCGGAAUCGCUAGUAAUCGCUGAUCAGCAGGCAGCGGUGAAUACGUUCCCGGGCCUU